ensembl:lncRNA novel transcript
CAGAGUACGAUUAGGAGGAUAUGAAGAAAGCAAGCCUUGGCCAGUCGCGGUUGCUCGUGCCUGUAAUCUCAGCGCUUUGGGAGGCCGAGGCAGGGGGAUCAUUUGAGGUUAGGAGUUCGAGACCAGCCUGGUCAACACGGUGGAACCCCGUCUCUAUUAAAAAUACAAAAACUAGCCAGGCGAGAUGGUGCACGCCCGUAAUCCCAGCUGCUCCAGAGGCUGAAGCAAGAGAAUAGCUUGAACUUGGGAGCCAAGAUCGUGCCACUGCACUCCAGCCUGGGCGACAAAGUGAGACUCCAUCUCAAAAGAAAAAACAAAGGAAAAAAGAAAGCAAGUCUUGGUUUGAGAAGAGCACGUUGACGAGAGAUGGUGUUUGCCAUGUUACCCAGGCCAGUCUCAAGCUCCUGAGCUCAAGUGAUUAGCCUGCCUCGACCUCCCAAAGUGCCAGGAUUACAGGUGUGUGCCACUACACCUGGCCUAUUAUUCCCACUUUACAAAUGAGAAAGCUGAGGCUCAGUAAGGAAAGCAACACGUACUGGGCCACUGAGGUGUCAAAUUUGAUGUCAAAGUCGAAGACUGCAGUCCUGGUUCAGUUUCAAAUAAGGGACUGUGAUGCCACGAAGCAGAACGAAGACUGAGCCUGGAUCACAAUGCAAUGGCCUGGCUGGAGAGAAAGUUGCAUGGGUCAUUUAUAGCUCACAGAGGCAAAGGUAACCUACCUAAGAAUGGAUCCAGAAGGCAAAAGGGACUGCCCUGCCCUCAAGAGAUGUCGGUAUCUCCAGUGUGCUGGGAAUGGGGCUCUAGGUAGGGCAAGAUGCCUCGGCAUGGUGGCUCUGAGAUCUGAAUCCAGAGAUCCACAGCUGUGGAUUAGCAAGCUACUCUGUUUCUCUAUAUGUUGGUUUCGCCUUCUACAAUAUGGAGCUAGUAAUCAUAUUUGCCUCCUAGAGCUGACAUCAAUAUUAAAUAAAAUAUGUUUGAAAUAAUUGA